rnacentral:rRNA from 1 species
GUGAGGAAUUUUGCGCAAUGGGGGCAACCCUGACGCAGCGACGCCGCGUGGAGGACGAAGUCUUUCGGGAUGUAAACUCCUGUCAGUGGGGACGAUAAUGACGGUACCCACAGAGGAAGCACCGGCUAACUCCGUGCCAGCAGCCGCGGUAAGACGGAGGGUGCAAGCGUUGUUCGGAAUUACUGGGCGUAAAGCGUAUGUAGGCGGCAAGUUAAGUUCAAUGUUAAAGCCCACGGCUCAACCGAGGAGAUGCAUUGACUACUGGCUAGCUAGAGGGUGUUAGAGGAAGACGGAAUUCCCAGUGUAGCGGUGAAAUGCGUAGAUAUUGGGAGGAACAUCGGUAGCGAAAGCGGUCUUCUGGGACAUACCUGACGCUGAGGUACGAAAGCGUGGGGAGCAAACGGGAUUAGAAACCCGUGUAGUCC